rnacentral:lncRNA from 1 species
GUCGAGCUUAUUCACGCAUGACUCAAGGGGUUCCCGGCAUCUUCUGAGGAUGCAAGCAGCCAUGGAAGGUCGGGCUGGAGCUGCCCCCGCUCCAGGGCCAGCUGGCCUGGAACCUGCGGACGACACCGAGUGGGAAGAACACAGAACACAGCACCCGGACAUGAAACCCUCCAUUCCAGUCGUCCCUAAAACAAGCUCUUCCUCUGCUGCUCCCCCUGGGGCAAGAAAAUCUCAAUCCUAUUGUUUUAACGUAGAGUUGAAUUUCUGUCUCUUACAGUGCAAAAGUCCUAACUAGUAAACUCAAUUUUUCUGUCUGUU